CCUACGUGAGGCAGCAGUAGGGAAUCUUCCACAAUGGGCGAAAGCCUGAUGGAGCAACGCCGCGUGGGUGAAGAAGGUCUUCGGAUCGUAAAACCCUGUUGUUAGAGAAGAAAGUGCGUGAGAGUAACUGUUCACGUUUCGACGGUAUCUAACCAGAAAGCAACGGCUAACUACGUGCCAGCAGCCGCAGUAAUACGUAGGUGGCAAGCGUUAUCCGGAUUUAUUGGGCGUAAAGUGAACGCAGGCGGUCUUGUAAGUCUGAUGUGAAAGCCUUCGGCUUAACCGGAGUAGUGCAUUGGAAACUGGGAGACUUGAGUGCAGAAGAGGAGAGUGGAACUCGAUGUGUAGCGGUGAAAUGCGUAGAUAUAUGGAAGAACACCAGUGGCGAAAGCGGCUCUCUGGUCUGUAACUGACGCUGAGGUUCGAAAGCGUGGGUAGCAAACAGGAUUAGAUACCCUUGUAGUC
rnacentral:rRNA from 1 species